AUGGCAGAGCCAAAACUGUUAGAGUCUGGGGCCUCUGCAGCCUCCACAGCUGCAGCUCUGGAGAACUUACAAGUGGAAGCAAGCUGCUCUGUGUGCCUCGAGUACCUGAAGGAGCCUGUCAUCAUUGAGUGUGGGCACAACUUCUGCAAAGCUUGCAUCACUCGCUGGUGGGAGGACUUGGAGAGGGACUUCCCAUGUCCUGUGUGUCGAAAGACGUCCUGCUACCCCAGUCUCCGGCCUAAUCGGCAAUUAGGCAGCAUGGUGGAAAUUGCUAAGCAGCUCCAAACUGUCAAGAGAAAGCUCCAGAAUGAGAACCUCUGCCCCCAGCACCAUGAGGCCCUCAACCUCUUCUGCUGUGAGGACCAGGAGCCUGUAUGUUUGAUAUGUGCAGUUUCCCAUGCCCAUGGGGCCCACAUCAUUGUGCCACUGGAUGAUGCCACACAGGAGUACAAGGAGAAGCUGCAGAAGUGCCUGGACCCCCUGGAGCAGAAGCUGCAGGAUAUCACCCGUUGCAAGUCGUCUGAGGAGAAAAAGCCAGGAGAACUCAAGAGACUGGUGGAGAGUCGCCGACAGCAGAUCUUAAAGGAGUUUGAGGAGCUUCACAGGCAGCUGGAUGAAGAACAGGAGAUGUUCCUUUCACGACUGGACGAGGAAGAGCAGGACAUUUUAGAGCAUCUCCAAGAAAAUGCUGCUCACAUCAGGGACAGGCAACAGAAUUUGGCCCACUUGCCUACCGAGGUAGAGGGCAAGUGCUUACAGUCAGACUUCGAGAUGCUUGAAAGGGUUCGACCUUUGCCCCUGUGAGCCACGUUGGAUGGAACAAAGUGUGAGAAAUUGAAGACCAUGGAGGUGACUUCUGUAACCAUACAGCUAAAGAGGAAACCAGUUUCCCUUGAAAAUAGUACCUUCCCCUGAGGAGGAUCCUUAACCAGCUAAUGGCUUCUCCCACGAAUGAAUGUGAUGCUUCUGAGACUGCUCAUCCUAACUUUGUCCUAUUGGAAGAUCGUAAGAUUCCUGAUUCUGAUCCACCAGCAUUCAGAUUUUCUCAGACCUGGGUCAUGAUGCAUGGAACCUUUUUCCUGCUGCUGUCAGGGGGCCUGGCCCUGAUACACGAUGGUGUGGAUUACACAUCCCUGAAUGAAGAUUUACGCUCCUGGAUGGCGUCGGACACAGUUGCUCAGAUUUCUAAGCAGAAUUUUGAGGCUACCCAGUAUGCAGCCAGGUUCAGAGUCUUUCUGGAGGGUGAGUGCUUGGACCGGCUCCGCAGGUACCUGGAGAACGGGAAGGAAACACUGCAGCGCUCAGAUGGGACCUUGGAGAACUUCCCUAGGACCUGCGAGGUCGAAAGAGAGCCGCGGCUGCAACCCGAGCAGAACAGCUUCGCCCGGCUCGGGCGCCCGGCGGGUGUCCUGCGGGCAGAGCUUCGGCACUCAGCAACGCGCAUGCGCGGCCCUUUUCCUAGCGAGACUUCCCCGAGUCACCUGGACGAUAGCUUAUCAGCCCCUCAUAGGGGCGCACGCGACCAGCCGCCGGCAACCCACUCGCCCUCGACCACAACCAGCCUACACACGCGCCGCGCGGCUUCCGCUUCCGGCGAGUAUUGUGUGUCGUGCUGCGGGGCGGAGGCGGGGGGAGGAGGAAGGAGGGAGGCAGCGCUCCGACGGCUCUGCGCUUCGCAGUCCCGGACUCAAAGCCGGGAAGGUAGGUUCUGCCCCGCCGCCGCGCCCGCGCCCUGUAGCCUGCCCCGGUCAGCCGGCUCCGCCAGCCUUGUCCCAGCGACCUGCGACUGCGUCACCGACCCCCCGCACGUAACUACCGCUGCCUCCGCCCGCCUUGGGCCCGGGCGGACGUUUUGCCGCCCCGGCGACGUCAGCGCGUCCGGCGUUGCUUGGCUACCCCGCGGUUCCCCUGUCCCGCUACCGCUCGCUUACCGGGGUGAAACUGACACUGCAUCAGAGUGGCAGGCAUCUCGCCUUAACGUCACACCUCCUCACCUGCACGCGCGUCCCUCCAGCCAGGACGUUCCCUCACCUCACUCCAAUCCCUUGCGCCAAAUCUGGGGGACGAUGAUGGAGACGGGGAUGAUGGCAGAGACAGGCCUGUUAGAGGCUGGGGCCUCUGCAGCCUCCACAGCUGCAGCUCUGGAGAACUUACAAGUGGAAGCAAGCUGCUCUGUGUGCCUCGAGUACCUGAAGGAGCCCGUCAUCAUUGAGUGUGGGCACAACUUCUGCAAAGCUUGCAUCACUCGCUGGUGGGAGGACUUGGAGAGGGACUUUCCUUGUCCUGUGUGUCGAAAGACGUCUUGCUAUCGUAGUCUCCGGCCUAAUCGGCAGUUAGGCAGCAUGGUGGAAAUUGCUAAGCAGCUCCAGGCUGUCAAGAGGAAGCUUCGGGAUGAGAGCCUCUGCCCUCAGCACCAUGAGGCCCUCAACCUCUUCUGUUAUGAGGACCAGGAACCUGUAUGUUUGAUAUGUGCAAUUUCCCACACUCACCGAGUCCACACUGUUGUGCCACUGGAUGAUGCCACACAGGAGUACAAGGAGAAGCUGCAGAAGUGCCUGGACCCCCUGGAGCAGAAGCUGCAGGAUAUCACCCGUUGCAAGUCAUCUGAGGAAAAAAAGCCUGCAGAGCUCAAGAGACUGGUAGAGAGUCGCCGACAGCAGAUCUUAAGGGAGUUUGAGGAGCUUCACAGGCGUCUGGAUGAAGAACAGCAGAUGUUGCUUUCACGACUGGAGGAAGAGGAGCAAGACAUUCUGCAGCAACUCCGGGAGAAUGCUGCUCACCUUGGGGACAAGCGCCGGGACCUGGCCCACUUGGCUGCUGAGGUGGAGGGCAAGUGCUUACAGUCAGGCUUCGAGAUGCUUAAGGAUGUCAAAAGUACCCUGGAAAAAUGUGAGAAAGUGAAGACCAUGGAGGUGACUUCUGUAUCCAUACAAUUGGAGAAGAACUUCAGCAAUUUCCCCCGACAGUAUUUUGCUCUCAGGAGGAUCCUUAAACAGCUAAUGGCGGACGUGACCCUGGAUCCUGAGACGGCCCAUCCUAACCUAGUUUUAUCAGAAGAUCGUAAAAGUGUCAAGUUCGUGGAGACAAGACUCCGGGAUCUCCCUGACACACCCCGACGUUUCACCUUCUACCCAUGUGUCCUGGCAACUGAAGGUUUCACCUCAGGUCGACACUAUUGGGAAGUGGAGGUGGGCGACAAGACUCACUGGGCAGUGGGUGUGUGCCAGGACUCCGUGAGCCGAAAGGGUGAACUGACACCACUCCCUGAGACUGGCUACUGGCGCGUGCGGCUAUGGAAUGGGGACAAAUAUGCAGCCACCACCACCCCCUUUACCCCUUUGCACAUCAAAGUGAAACCCAAGAGAGUGGGCAUAUUCCUAGACUAUGAAGCUGGCACGCUGUCUUUUUACAAUGUCACAGAUCGCUCUCACAUCUACACCUUCACUGACACGUUUACUGAGAAACUCUGGCCCCUCUUCUAUCCAGGCAUCCGUGCUGGUCGGAAGAAUGCUGCACCGCUUACUAUUAGGCCCCCAACAGAUUGGGAAUGA